rnacentral:rRNA from 1 species
AUUGAACGCUGGCGGCAGGUCUAACACAUGCAAGUCGAACGAGUGGCGGACGGGUGAGUAAUGUCUGGGACACUGCCCGCUGGAGGGGGUUAACUACUGGAAACGUUAGCUAAUACCGCAUACCUUCAGAUGGGCCCAGAUGGGAUUAGCUUGUAGGGGGGGUAACGGCUCACCUAGGCGACGAUCCCUAGCUGGUGUGAGAGGGUGACCAGCCACACUGGAAGGGAAACCGGCUCCAGACUCAUAGGGGGGGCAGCGGUGGGGAAUAUUGGACAAUGGGCGAAAGCCUGAUGCAGCCAUGCCGGGUGGUGGAGGAGGGCCUUGGGGUUGUAAAGUACUUUCAGGGAGGAGGCGUUACUCACAGAGGAAGCGACGGCUAACUCCGUGCCAGCAGCCGCGGUAAUAC